UACGAAGGGGGCUAGCGUUGCUCGGAAUCAUUGGGCGUAAAGCGCGUGUAGGCGGUUCGGUAAGUCGGCUGUGAAAGUCCAGGGCUCAACCCUGGGAUGCCGGUCGAUACUGCCGGACUAGAGUUCGGCAGGGGAGACUGGAAUUCCUGGUGUAGCGGUGAAAUGCGCAGAUAUCAAGAGGAACACCUGAGGCGAAGGCGGGUUGCUAGGCUGACACUGACGCUGAGGCGCGAAAGCUAGGGUAGCAAACGGG
rnacentral:rRNA from 1 species